rnacentral:rRNA from 1 species
UAGGGAAUCUUCCACAAUGGACGCAAGUCUGAUGGAGCAACGCCGCGUGAGUGAAGAAGGCUUUCGGGUCGUAAAACUCUGUUAUUGAAGAAGAACGUGUGUGACAGUAACUGGUCAUGCAGUGACGGUAUUCAAUCAGAAAGUCACGGCUAACUACGUGCCAGCAGCCGCGGUAAUACGUAGGUGGCAAGCGUUGUCCGGAUUUAUUGGGCGUAAAGCGAGUGCAGGCGGUCUUUUAAGUCUGAUGUGAAAGCCUUCGGCUUAACCGAAGAAGGGCAUCGGAAACUGGGAGACUUGAGUGCAGAAGAGGAGAGUGGAACUCCAUGUGUAGCGGUGAAAUGCGUAGAUAUAUGGAAGAACACCAGUGGCGAAGGCGGCUCUCUGGUCUGUAACUGACGCUGAGGCUCGAAAGCGUGGGUAGCAAACAGGAUUAGAUACCCUGGUAGUCCACGCCGUAACGAUGAAUACU